UGGCUCAGGACGAACGCUGGCGGCGUGCUUAAUACAUGCAAGUCGAGCGAACAGAUAAGGAGCUUGCUCCUUUGACGUUAGCGGCGGACGGGUGAGUAACACGUGGGUAACCUGCCCUAUAGUUUGGGAUAACUCCGGGAAACCGGGGCUAAUACCGAAUAAGUGAUUUCUUCGCAUGAAGUGAAUCUGGAAAGACGGUUUCGGCUGUCGCUAUAGGAUGGACCCGCGGCGCAUUAGCUAGUUGGUGAGGUAACGGCUCACCAAGGCAACGAUGCGUAGCCGACCUGAGAGGGUGAUCGGCCACACUGGGACUGAGACACGGCCCAGACUCCUACGGGAGGCAGCAGUAGGGAAUCUUCCACAAUGGACGAAAGUCUGAUGGAGCAACGCCGCGUGAGUGAAGAAGGAUUUCGGUUCGUAAAACUCUGUUGCAAGGGAAGAACAAGUAGCGUAGUAACUGGCGCUACCUUGACGGUACCUUGUUAGAAAGCCACGGCUAACUACGUGCCAGCAGCCGCGGUAAUACGUAGGUGGCAAGCGUUGUCCGGAAUUAUUGGGCGUAAAGCGCGCGCAGGUGGUUCUUUAAGUCUGAUGUGAAAGCCCCCGGCUCAACCGGGGAGGGUCAUUGGAAACUGGGGAACUUGAGUGCAGAAGAGGAUAGUGGAAUUCCAAGUGUAGCGGUGAAAUGCGUAGAGAUUUGGAGGAACACCAGUGGCGAAGGCGACUGUCUGGUCUGUAACUGACACUGAGGCGCGAAAGCGUGGGGAGCAAACGGGAUUAGAUACCCUGGUAGUCCACGCCGUAAACGAUGAGUGCUAAGUGUCGGGGGGUUUCCGCCCCUCAGUGCUGCAGCUAACGCAUUAAGCA
rnacentral:rRNA from 1 species